CUCUGGAUAUCAGUCUACCAUCUGACAGGUGUAGAGCCCUCUGUUGUAGUCUACCAUCUGACAGGUGUAGAGCCCUCUGGACAUCAGUCUACCAUCUGACAGGUGUAGAGGCCUCUGGACAUCAGUCUACCAUCUGACAGGUGUAGAACCCUCUGUUGUAGUCUACCAUCUGACAGGUGUAGAGCCCUCUGGACAUCAGUCUACCAUCUGACAGGUGUAGAGCCCUCUGCUGUAGACUACCAUCUGACAGGUGUAGAGCCCUCUGGACAUCAGUCUACCAUGUUAGAGGUGUAGAGCCCUCUGCUGUAGACUACCAUCUGACAGGUGUAGAGAAAAGUGGUCAGAUGAAUCAGAUGCUAAGCUACAGGACUGUUUUGCUA
rnacentral:lncRNA from 1 species